AAGAAGCCACUCACUUAGGUUCACUGAAUUGAACUUAAAUAGGAAAAAAUUCUCUGCUAAGUGAGAGACAAACACAAAAAUCUCACAACCCCAAUGCCUAUUUUAGUCAUAAAUGAGAGCACACGGAUCGGCAGGAUAGAGCCAAGGAACUGACCUACCAAAGCCGAUUUCUAUCGGUGCUUACCCAAAUCAGUGACCGACUGCAAAAUCUUCAAAACAUCAUUCACCACAGCAACCCUCGAUUAUGGUAUGAACCUGAGAUCAGAUGAAGAGUCAGAGACCAAAGCGGCCCAUGACUUGGCGGAGGACGGGGGAGGAGAAGAUGCAGUGUCUACUAACAUAACAAUCCAAGCAAAAAUUAGGCAGAGAGGAGUAAGAAAAGAGGAAUUAAAGCAAGAGUCUGAAUGAUGCCAGAGAUUCGAAGAUCCACUGGUGAUCAAUCAAUACCAGUAAGGCCAUAGAGGAGCACACCCACAAAGAGAGCCCUUCCGGCACCGACGAUUAGGUGACGAAGAAAUCAGCUCAAGUUGAGAGAGAUCAACGAGCUGUACACGCGCUCUCGUUGUACGCUCAAAUUAUAAUGAAUAAAUUUUAGAAAGACUUAAAGAUUACAAAUUCUUAUAAUUAAUUAUAAGUCCUAUUUAUAAUAAAAUUUCCUAAUUAUGCUAGAAUAAUG
rnacentral:lncRNA from 1 species